GGACCAAACCACAGGAGCGUGUGUGCAUCGAACAUCUACCACAGAAGUUUUGGGUCAAGCUGAUGUUUUUGUUUUACCUUCAUCCAUGUCUGUGUGAUCUUAUGAACUGGUUGGAUGAGAAAUAAACAUCAUUGUGGACCCUAGGAAGGUUUCAACAGUGGAAAUCAUUAUUCCCACUAUUUCCCGUAGUGUGGUCCACUUGAACUUUAUAUAUGCUUCAAUGUUGGGAUCAACCCCUAAAAUGAGUUGACGAAACAGAUGGACGGAUUGGAUAAACCACAUACAUUUAUGGUGGGCCCAACACAGUUUACUCAGUACGAUAAAAGCGUACUGAACGCAAUCCAAUUUCGAGAAUGUUUGCUGCCCCUUUUGAAGAAACCUUUUCAUCUCAUUCAAAAUUUGAAAAUUAAGAGGGAGGUGGGCGGACUGGAAUCCUCUGCAACAUCUGUUUUAAAAACACUCAAGCUUGUGUGGCCCACCAUUUCUAAUUAUGAAAUCCACUCCAUCAAUCAGGUUCAAUCUUUGAUGUUAGGACCUAAGGCUACAAAUUAGCUAGAACAACAAGUCAGGUGGGCCACACGAACGCAGAGAGUGUGUAUUUUACUCAACUGCGUAGACGAAUCCGGUUCCAAGUGGGCAUGGCAGAUAAGGACUGGGAGCUCUGCAAUGAUGAUGGCUUUGUCUACAAGAAGAGAAAAAAAGGAAGAAUCAUCUUCCGCUACGACUGCGAUCAAUCUAGAGGUGGAGGGGACCCGACAUUGAAGGGAGCAGAAGAAAAAGGUUCUGGAAAGGGUGAGAGAGCAGUAUAGGAGAGAGAUCCAACAAUGGGAAGGACUGUCUGCCAAUCUUCAAUAGCUGAAGGACAAGAGAAGACAAGCAGAGGUGUUGCUUUUGCUACUGCCGCUUCCAUCCGAAGAAAUGUCUGCUUUGCAGCAGGUCAGGGAGAAGGAAGGGGACAAUUUUCGGCAGUUGAUUGUGGAUGACCUCCUGUCGCAGGCAGAAAGCUCAAGAAGCAAUUCUUCAGGACCUGUUAAACCAAUGCGAUGCAGCUGAAGCCUCAUGUAAGGUGCAAGAAGAAUGCCAGAAGCAAUCUUUCAUUCAACUUCCAAUUUGGGCCACACCAAGGGCUCUCUUCGCCUCUUUAUCAGAGGUUGACGACCAAGAAAAAAAUUAUAACAGCUACAAUGCCUGAAUGUCUUACCUCAAUUAAUCUUGAGCUAUAUAACAUUUUACUCACUCGAUCAUAUAUUCUGCACUGCAAUAUAGGUGCCACUCUUAGGUGUUGUUCCUCCCUUUGCUUUCGGCUCUUUUAAAAUAAGG